CGUGAACCCAGGAGGCGGAGCUCGCAGUGAGCCGAGAUGGCGCCACUGCACUCCAGCCUGGGCGAAAGAGCGAGACUCCGUCUCAAAAAAAAAAAAAAAAAAAAAAAUUUCAGGCUCUGUGUGGUGGCUCACACCUAUAAUUGCAGCACUCUGUGGGACCAAGAGGGAAUGGAUGCUGUUAAGGAUGUCAUGACCGGCUGUUGAUGCCCAGAAGUCUGGUUGUUCAAGGCACUAUCUGAGACUGAAGAAACACAGACUUUCCCAUCGGUUCCCUGAAACUCCCCCUCCCUUUUGUCUAGCUGCACAAAAACUCCCUGCUUCACCUUUUUGUUAAGACAGAUUUGAGAGAUCUUGCCCUCCUGCCCUCUUGCCUUGGUCAAAUUGAAUAAACCUUUCUCUAUCUCCAAGCACCAGUGUCUCAGUGUUUGGCCCCAGCUGCUCAUGGGGUAC
rnacentral:lncRNA from 10 species